AGCCGUCUCUUCACUGGAAAGGGUGACGCGGCGCAAGAUUUACCCCUGAACCUCUCUGGGAGUGUGAGCUUCAUGGGCCUCAGUAGGAGGAGACGGUGGAGAAGAAAAAGACUUUACCAGGCUGUCUGCAGACACCCUUGUCCUAGAGGCCCUGGAGUGGGACAGCUGGGUGGCUCCUCGGAAGACUCCACAACCCCUUG